UAGUGGCGAACGGGUGAGUAACACGUGAGUAACCUGCCCUUAACUCUGGGAUAAGCCUUGGAAACGGGGUCUAAUACUGGAUAUUGACUUUACCUCGCAUGGGGUUUGGUUGAAAGAUUUAUUGGUUUUGGAUGGACUCGCGGCCUAUCAGCUUGUUGGUGAGGUAAUGGCUCACCAAGGCGACGACGGGUAGCCGGCCUGAGAGGGUGACCGGCCACACUGGGACUGAGACACGGCCCAGACUCCUACGGGAGGCAGCAGUGGGGAAUAUUGCACAAUGGGCGAAAGCCUGAUGCAGCGACGCCGCGUGAGGGAUGACGGCCUUCGGGUUGUAAACCUCUUUCAGUAGGGAACAAGGCCAGCAUUUUUGUUGGUUGAGGGUACUUGCAGAAGAAGCGCCGGCUAACUACGUGCCAGCAGCCGCGGUAAUACGUAGGGCGCAAGCGUUAUCCGGAAUUAUUGGGCGUAAAGAGCUCGUAGGCGGUUUGUCGCGUCUGCCGUGAAAGUCCGGGGCUCAACCCCGGAUCUGCGGUGGGUACGGGCAGACUAGAGUGAUGUAGGGGAGACUGGAAUUCCUGGUG
rnacentral:rRNA from 1 species